rnacentral:rRNA from 1 species
CGACAACUCAUUCAAGCUUCUGCCCUAUCAGCUUUGGAUGGUAGGGUAUUGGCCUACCAUGGCUUUGACGGGUAACGGAGAAUUGGGGUUCGAUUCCGGAGAGGGAGCCUGAGAGAUGGCUCCCACAUCCAAGGAAGGCAGCAGGCGCGUAAAUUACCCAAUCCUGACACAGGGAGGUAGUGACAAUAAAUAACAAUGCCGGACUUUCAGUCUGGCAAUUGGAAUGAGAACAAUUUAAAUCCCUUAUCGAGGAUCAAUUGGAGGGCAAGUCUGGUGCCAGCAGCCGCGGUAAUUCCAGCUCCAAUAGCGUAUACUAAAGUUGUUGCAGUUAAAAAGCUCGUAGUUGGAUUUCUGGUGGGGACAGCUGGUCGGGCUGGGAACAGCCUGCACUUGUGCUGGUCUUCAUCAUCCUUGGGGAGAGCAGGCGUGGCAUUAAGUUGUCGGGUCUGGGAUCCUCAUCGUUUACUGUGAAAAAAUUAGAGUGUUCAAAGCAGGCUUAGGCCCUGAAUACAUUAGCAUGG